rnacentral:lncRNA from 1 species
UCUAUUCUACCGCUGUCUGUCUAAUGAGUAUGAUAUCUUUUAUAUUAUGUUAAAGUUUUGCUAAGUUGAAUGCCUUGCAUGUCUAUAGAGAGGAUACUUUGUAGGUAUGUGAUGGCUGCUCACAUCCCCAAAAAUUUAUUUUAAUUUAUAGUCUGAGUUAGGGGGGUGACAGUUAAAGUGGUAUCAGAGCAUAUAUUUAGUUUAUAUAAUGUAUUGAAAUUAAGGCACGCUGAGAGUAAGUGGGAUAGUUAUUAGAUAAUAAGAUAUAAAAACUUGCCUUUGUUAUUCUAGAUAUAGUCACGGAUCUUAUAUUCCGAUCUAUUUGAAAUCUUGAAAUAAGUUCCUAAUGAUGUGUUAGCAAUAAACUGAAAAUAAUAUUAGCUGUGUUAUUUAUGUUGAUAAUAAUAUUAAUGAAUUAUAGUAUUGGAAAGUUCCUUAUAAUCAGAGUUUAUCAUCAUAUCGAAGGUGAUCUAUUAGUUACCAUUUAAGUAAUUUUCAUGAUUAUAAAUUAUUGGUAUUUUGCUUAUAAAGUCGGGAGUGUACAUUUAUGUUUCUGAUAAUUCUUUUGAUAGAUGAAAUAUAUGAUUAGUGUUAUUCCCUGUUGCAUAGGAUGUUAAUUGCAGAUCAUGGAAGUAAUCGAUAUAUCUCCAAAGGUUAUCCUAGUCGAGAUCACAAAAAAGUUGGGACUCUCAGAUCCAGUUUAUGGAGUUGAGAUAAAUGAAGGACAGUAUGUUAGAUCUUAUGUGAAGGUGACUAUCAAUAGAGGAGAGCAACCAUUUGAAACUGUUAGAUCAAUGGGUCUUUUUAGAGUAGAACAAUUGAAGUCGGAAGAAUAGGCAGCAAUUUAUGCACUUAAUAAUGAGGCACCAUUUCCAUUUUGAAGUGUAGGAUGUCAAUUUUGAUGACAAGAAAGAUUAUAAGCAUUCCUUCCGAAGAGUAGGGGCUAAAUAUAAUGCUGCAAGUGUGGAACUUCAACAGUGACAGAUUAAGGGAUAUAAAUCAAAGACAUAUCGAGAAAUAUUCUAGCUUGUAGCGUCAAGUAACGAGAUUGAGGCAAGGAUUCCCUUCGGAUAUCGAGUCUUCAUCUAGAGAAAAUUGAUGUGAAAGGAAGAGGAUGAAGUAAAUAAAAGGUAUGAUCUAUUAUUGCAUAGGAUAAAUUUAUACUAUAUUUAAUAUCUGAAUAACUAAUCUGAGUUUACUUUAAUUUUAUCUUGUUGGAGGAUCCAGUGGUAAUCAAUUUUGAAUGGUAUUAGUGAAAUUUUGCAUAACUAGUUGAGAAUUUUGGUAUGUUUUGAAAUAAAAAAAAGAAAAGAAAAAGAAGAGAGAUUCAAGAUGGUAGUCAUAUAUUGGUAGUUAAUCAAAUAUCUUGAGUAG